ACGCAGCCCGACCUGAGUGGAGCUCUUUUUCUUUUUUUACAAAAAAAAGAAAAAAAGCGGGAACGGAGGGCGGAUAAAGC
rnacentral:misc_RNA from 1 species